AAGUCGUAACAAGGUAUCCGUAGGUGAACCUGCGGAUGGAUCAUUACUAUAUUGUCAGCGAUGACUUGCAAUUGUUGUUGCAUCUCAUACACGCGACUAUUUAUCAUUGUGAACUGUCUUGACCUUCACGACGCAAUGUCGCGACGUCAACUUUUUUAUUCAAAUCCAUAAUCUAAAUCAUUUAAAACUAGAAAUCUAAAACUUUUAGCAACGGAUCUCUAGGCUCUCGCAUCGAUGAAGC
rnacentral:misc_RNA from 1 species